CACACACACACACACUCACAAGUGCAGGGCGGAGUGGGUGGGUGAGUGGGUGUUUCACAAAUUCCACUGCACACCCGAAAGGCGUCGAGUGCAAAGCACCGAGAUUUCAGCUCAAGCGCCAGUGUGUAUGCACUUUCUGAGUGAAAGUGGGGGUGUUUCUACUCGAGUGCUGGCCACGCACUGCGAAAUUAAGAGAGAAAACACGCCCCCGCUUUGGCGGCCAGUGAGCGAAUCGACCCUCGACCAACCCCCGUUCAAGUUCAAUGCAAUCUGCACCCACUGUCGCCGGCGACCUUGAAGAUAUAACCACGCGAAUCCGCGGAGAAAGAGGCGGAGAAAGCGGCAGAACAUGCUAUAGCAGCUAUAAUGAACACGAUAUUAUGCAGGGGAUAACAUUUGAAACAACCUUUGAAGGAAACAAUUGAUUGCCUACGUGGUGGAAUAGCCAAUUAUGCCUGGGAAAUUGGCGGGAAACCGAGGAAAACCAAACUAAUUCGGUGAUACAACAAACAACGUUCGCAAACAAGUUGUGUAACGUCAGGAAAAUGUGAGGAAAUUGGAUAAAAACGCAGCCACAAGUGGCGGAAGAGCUGAAUCACUUGAGGAACAUUUUGUAUGAAUGGAAUGGAAUUUGGGGCGGGGAAGAUUUAUCAGAUUUGAUAAAUAUAUUUAAGUCAGUUUGGUAAACUUCUUAAGAUACAAAAAUGUUUAGGGGGAAAAUUAUACAUUUGGUGCUUAUGUAUGGGUCUCUAAUGAUGCAAGAUAUUAAAUUAUUUAAAUGUAUACUUACUCUAUUAGAACUCAUAUACAAUAAAUACUUAAAUUCGUAACUAUUGGAUAACGCCUGUUAGCAUUACAGCAUCUGGAAGAUUGUUGUUUAUUUUGCCAACACACGCGUCGUAUGCGUAAUAUUUAGAGUCAAUAACAAAGGGAGCAAACAUGGAAAAGGCAAAUCAAACAACAACAACUCAUUUAAUCAACACCACCAGCACACACAUUAGUGUUUUCAAAUGCUGGAAAGAGAUAGAGCCACGCAACUACAGUCACGUGUAAAUUCCAAAUGCUGUAAAUUAGCAUUUAUUGCCAGUGAGACAAC